rnacentral:rRNA from 1 species
CAAGCGAUGGGGUGACGCAGGAAGGUAGCUGGGCCAGUCAGUGGUUGUACUGGUGUAAGAGUGUAGGCCGUGACAUAGGCAAAUCCGUGUCACAUUAAGGCUGAGACUUGAUGCAUACCCGUUGUGGGGAAUUCAGUGAUCCUAUGCUGCCGAGAAAAGCCUCUAGUGAGUUCAUACACGGCCCGUACCCCAAACCGACACAGGUGAUCAGGUAGAGAAUACCAAGGCGAUCGAGAGAACUGUGGUUAAGGAACUCGGCAAAAUGCCCCCGUAACUUCGGGAGAAGGGGGACCAUGCCCGGUGAACAUCUUCACGGUGGGAGCUGGGUGUGGUCGCAGAGACCAGAGAGAAGCGACUGUUUACUAAAAACACAGGUCCGUGCGAAGACGUAAGUCGAUGUAUACGGACUGACGCCUGCCCGGUGCUGGAAGGUUAAGAGGACCGGUUAGCCGUAAGGCGAAGCUGAGAAUUUAAGCCCCAGUAAACGGCGGUGGUAACUAUAACCAUCCUAAGGUAGCGAAAUUCCUUGUCGGGUAAGUUCCGACCUGCACGAAUGGCGUAACGACUUCUCUGCUGUCUCGACCACAGACUCGGCGAAAUUGCACUACGAGUAAAGAUGCUCGUUACGCGCGGCAGGACGAAAAGACCCCGGGACCUUUACUAUAGCUUGGUAUUGGCGUUCGAUUCGGUUUGUGUAGGAUAGGUGGGAGACUGUGAAGCAUGCACGCCAGUGUGUGUGGAGUCGUUGUUGAAAUACCACUCUGAUCGUAUUGGACGUCUAACCUCGGCCCAUGAUCUGGGUUAGGGACAGUGCCUGGUGGGUAGUUUAACUGGGGCGGUUGCCUCCUAAAGAGUAACGGAGGCGCCCAAAGGUUCCCUCAGCCUGGAUGGCAAUCAGGUGUUGAGUGCAAGUGCACAAGGGAGCUUGACUGUGAGACUGACACGUCGAGCAGGGACGAAAGUCGGGACUAGUGAUCCGGCACCGGCAAGUGGAAGCGGUGUCGCUCAACGGAUAAAAGGUACCCCGGGGAUAACAGGCUGAUCUUCCCCAAGAGUCCAUAUCGACGGGAUGGUUUGGCACCUCGAUGUCGGCUCGUCGCAUCCUGGGGCUGGAGUAGGUCCCAAGGGUUGGGCUGUUCGCCCAUUAAAGCGGCACGCGAGCUGGGUUUAGAACGUCGUGAGACAGUUCGGUCUCUAUCCGCCGCGCGCGUAAGAAACUUGAGGAAGGCUGUCCCUAGUACGAGAGGACCGGGACGGACGAACCUCUGGUGUGCCAGUUGUUCCACCAGGAGCAUGGCUGGUUAGCUACGUUCGGAAGGGAUAACCGCUGAAAGCAUCUAAGCGGGAAGCCUGUUCCAAGAUGAGGUUUCUCACCACCUUGCGUGGUUAAGGCCCCCUACAGACCAUGGGGUUGAUAGGCCGGAACUGGAAGCGCAGCAAUGCGUGGAGGUGACCGGUACUAAUAGGCCGAGGGCU